CCUACGGGUGGCAGCAGUGAGGAAUAUUGGUCAAUGGACGAGAGUCUGAACCAGCCAAGUAGCGUGAAGGAUGACUGCCCUAUGGGUUGUAAACUUCUGUUAUAAAGGAGUAAAACGAGACAAGUGUGCCUUUUUGCAUGUACUUUAUGAAUAAGGAUCGGCUAACUCCGUGCCAGCAGCCGCGGUAAUACGGAGGGUCCGAGCGUUAUCCGGAUUUAUUGGGUUUAAAGGUAGCGUAGAUGGGUUGGUAAGUCAGUUGUGAAAGUUUGCGGCUCAACCGUAAAAUUGCAAUUGAUACUGGCAGUCGUGAGUACAGUUGAGGUAGGCGGAAUUCGUGGUGUAGCGGUGAAAUGCUUAGAUAUCACGAAGAACCCCGAUUGCGAAGGCAGCUUACUAAACUGUGACUGACAUUGAUGCUCGAAAGUGAGGGUAUCAAACAGGAUUAGAUACCCGUGUAGUC
rnacentral:rRNA from 1 species